ACCCACUUAAAUUCCUAGUUGAUAUUUUCAGCGAGUUUCCCACAAAGUCCAACUUUGGUUGACACUCUUUCAAAUCCCAGUUCUCGUCUGGCCAUUCAUUUCAAAGCCUAGUUUCUAUCUGGAAAAACUUUUCAAAGCCCAAUUCUCAUCUGGAAAAACAUUUCAAACCCAGUUCUUGUUUGGAAAAACAUUUCAAACCCAGUUCUUGUUUGGAAAAA
rnacentral:lncRNA from 1 species